GGGCCCGCACAAGCGGUGGAGCAUGUGGUUUAAUUCGAUGCAACGCGAAAAACCUUACCAGGCCUUGACAUCCUGAGAACUUUCUAGAGAUAGAUUGGUGCCUUCGGGAACUCAGUGACAGGUGUUGCAUGGCUGUCGUCAGCUCGUGUCGUGAGAUGUUGGGUUAAGUCCCGUAACGAGCGCAACCCUUAUCCUUAUUUGCCAGCACAUAAUGGUGGGAACUCUAAGGAGACUGCCGGUGACAAACCGGAGGAAGGAGAGGAUGAUGUCAAGUCAUCAUGGCCCUUACGGCCUGGGCUACACACGUGCUACAAUGGGCAGUACAGAGGGCCGCGAACCCGCGAGGGGGAGCUAAUCCCAAAAACUGCUCGUAGUCCGGAUCGGAGUCUGCAACUCGACUCCGUGAAGUCGGAAUCGCUAGUAAUCGC
rnacentral:rRNA from 1 species